GGGUCUUUGGGCUUUGGCAAGUUCGGUUAUGGCGGAUUUGGAUUCGGCGGUUAUGGCCACGGCAUUGGCUAUGGCUACCCCUUGAUUGGAGGUUUCUACGGAAAGGGUUACGGCAGUUACUAUUAAAUGGCAUUUUUGCCUUCGGAAUUCGACACAGAACGACUGAGGAAUAUGGAUCUACCAUUUACGUCCCAUCACAACUUUGAGGAAAAAUACAAGAUCUAUUAAAAUUGUUACUUCUGGUAUAACGAAAAUGUUAAAACGAUCUGCAUUAUAUUAUGACCAUCUUGAUAUACUGCCCCGCUGUUCUACAAAUUAAACCAUCAUGCGCUGAUUACGUGCCUCACA